CCACAGCAGUCCUUGAGGACCUCGUGCAGUACAGAUAGUGGCAAGUAACGUGGUGGGACAGCCCAGCCCUGCUGGAUCCCCCCCAGACCAGGACCCUUCAUUUAACAUGGGCUGCUAAAGCCCAACCUUGUUACAGAUAUGAUUCACACGAUGAUAUUUCAAUCACUUCCUCUGGGAGACUCUUUCCAACAAUGCAGAUUUCUUGGCUCUAGAAGAAUUCCCAGAGACCGAGCUGAAAUUUUCCUUCGCCCUUGCAAUGAAUCCCCUCAUGUAGCUUCAAAAAGGAUUUUUCCUCCCUUCUCCUUGCCCCAUUGAAGGGCCACAAACACAGGUGCCCAGCCUGUGGAAAAUCUGGGCUGUGAAUCUUGAAAAAUCAGGCCUCCAUUAAUCUUACUCAAAGAAUCCAACUGGGG